rnacentral:rRNA from 1 species
AUUGAACGCUGGCGGCAUGCUUUACACAUGCAAGUCGAACGGUAACAGGGAGCUUGCUCCGCUGACGAGUGGCGAACGGGUGAGUAACAUAUCGGAACGUACCCAAGAGUGGGGGAUAACGUAGCGAAAGUUACGCUAAUACCGCAUACGAUCUAUGGAUGAAAGUGGGGGAUCGCAAGACCUCAUGCUCCUGGAGCGGCCGAUAUCUGAUUAGCUAGUUGGUGAGGUAAAGGCUCACCAAGGCGACGUUCAGUAGCUGGUUUGAGAGGACGACCAGCCACACUGGAACUGAGACACGGUCCAGACUCCUACGGGAGGCAGCAGUGGGGAAUUUUGGACAAUGGGCGCAAGCCUGAUCCAGCAAUGCCGCGUGAGUGAAGAAGGCCUUCGGGUUGUAAAGCUCUUUUGUCAGGGAAGAAACGGUAGAGGCUAAUAUCCUUUGCUAAUGACGGUACCUGAAGAAUAAGCACCGGCUAACUACGUGCCAGCCGCCGCGGUAAGAC